rnacentral:tRNA from 1 species
GCCGAGGUGGUGAAACUGGCAGACGCAGGGGACUCAAAAUCCCCCGACCGCAAGGUCGUGAGGGUUCGAUUCCCUCCCUCGGUACAA